AAGGAUCAUUAACGAAUCAAACAAGUUCAUCUUGUUCUGAUCCUGUGCACCUUAUGUAGUCCCAAAGCCUUCACGGGCGGCGGUUGACUACGUCUACCUCACACCUUAAAGUAUGUUAACGAAUGUAAUCAUGGUCUUGACAGACCCUAAAAAGUUAA
rnacentral:misc_RNA from 1 species